AUCCCGUUGAGGAGUCCCAGAUAGGACGAAAUACGCAUCCUUGAU
rfam:Schistosoma rodhaini strain Burundi genome assembly, scaffold: SROB_scaffold0000622